GGAAAGAUGGCUGAGUGGUCUAAGGCGUGGAUCUGGAACGUCCAAGUAAUUAGUAAAUUACCGAGGGUUCGAAUCCCUCUCUUUCCU
rnacentral:tRNA from 1 species